GACGAACGCUGGCGGCGUGCUUUAGGCAUGCAAGUCGAACGCGAAAGCCCCUUCGGGGGUGAGUAGAGUGGCGAACGGGUGAGUAACACGUGGGUAACCUGCCCCUCGCAGGGGGAUAACCGGGGGAAACCCCGGCUAAUACCCCGUACGCUUGCUGGGGCGCAUGCUCCGGCAAGGAAAGGUAGCUUCGGCCAUCCGGCGAGGGAGGGGCCCGCGGCCCAUUAGCUAGUUGGUGGGGUAACGGCCCACCAAGGCGACGAUGGGUAGCUGGCCGGAGAGGGGGGUCCGCCACACUGGGACUGAGACGCGGCCCAGACUCCUCCGGGAGGCAGCCGCCAGGGAUCUUGCGCAAUGGGCGAAAGCCUGACGCAGCAACGCCGCAUGGGCGAUGAAGGACUUCGGGGCGUAAAGCCCUGUUGUCGGGGACGAAGGGCGAAGGGUUAAUAGCCCCUAGCCUGACGGUACCCGACGAGGAAGCCCCGGCUAACUACGUGCCAGCCGCCGCCGUAA
rnacentral:rRNA from 1 species